CCAAUAGCGUAUAUUAAAUUUGUUGCAGUUAAAAAGCUCGUAGUUUGAAUUCUGGCCGGAGCGGUUGGUGCGACUCUCUGAGUUGUUACUUGCAUCGUCUCUGGCCAUCCUUGGGGAGAACCUGUCUGGCAUUAGGUUGUCGGGCAGGGGGUACUCAUCGUUUACUGUGAAAAAAUUAGAGUGUUCAAAGCAGGCUUACGCCGUUGAAUAUACUAGCAUGGAAUAAUAAUAUAGGACCCUUGUACUAUUUUGUUGGUUUGUGCACGAGGGUAAUGAUUAACAGGGACAAUUGGGGAUAUUUGUAUUUCAGUGGAAGAGGUGAAAUUCUUGGAUUUCUGAAAGACAAACAACUGCGAAAGCAUUUAUCAAGGAUGUUUUCAUUAAUCAAGAACGAAAGUUAGGGGAUCGAAGAUG
rnacentral:rRNA from 1 species